GGAAGGGUGGCAGAGUUGGUCGAAUGCACCGGUCUUGAAAACCGGCAAGGGGCAACCCUUCGUGGGUUCGAAUCCCACCCCUUCCGCCA
rnacentral:tRNA from 1 species